rnacentral:rRNA from 1 species
GGAAUAUUGGUCAAUGGGCGAGAGCCUGAACCAGCCAAGUAGCGUGCAGGAUGACUGCCCUAUGGGUUGUAAACUGCUUUUAUCAGGGGAUAAAGUGACGUACGUGUACGUUAUUGCAGGUACCUGAUGAAUAAGGACCGGCUAAUUCCGUGCCAGCAGCCGCGGUAAUACGGAAGGUCCGGGCGUUAUCCGGAUUUAUUGGGUUUAAAGGGAGCGCAGGCGGAAGGUUAAGCGUGACGUGAAAUGUACCGGCUCAACCGGUGAUGUGCGUCGCGAACUGGCUUUCUUGAGUGAGUACGACGCUGGCGGAAUUCGUGGUGUAGCGGUGAAAUGCUUAGAUAUCACGAAGAACUCCGAUUGCGAAGGCAGCCGGCGAGUCCUCAACUGACGCUAAUGCUCGAAAGUGCGGGUAUCGAACA